AGCUCCCUGCUGGCGCUGGGCUGCUGGGGACGGGCGAUAGCGGAGCCAGCUGCGCCUUUGAAACGUGCUGGGGCUUCCCAGUAGGUCAAGUGAAAUGGGAGGGGGAAAUUUCUCUUUCUUCCUUUUUUUUUUUUUUUUUGGUGGUUGUUUGUUUUUGUUGUUGCUGCUGGCGGCAGGAUGGAGCGCUGGCACUGGCUGCUGCAGAGCAGUGAUUGGAACAGGGUGUCCCAUCCAGGGUGUCCAGGAGCUCGGUGCCACUCUGGCUGCUGUGGCACUGGGAUCUGUGAGAGGGCCAGUGGUGGGAGCCCUGCCCGCUCUGGGAUCACCAUUUUCCUGCCUCAAUGCCACAAGAACCUCUUCAUUCCCCCAAAGCCCUGAUGGGCCGUGGCGAGGGCGAUGCCCUGGUGGGUCGCACGAUGGCUCUGAGCAGCCGCUUCACCAUGGCCCUUCCUCUGCUCCUCGCCCAGCCUUGAACAAGUAACACUUCACCAUUGCACAGGGGAGCCCGCAGCACACAAGGCCUUGCUGGUUGGGUGUAACUGUGUUUCCAGCUGAAGCUGGCAGCAUUUUUGUCUUUGUUCUCUGUUUUUUUUUUCUUUGGCCAUGCCCAAGGAGCGAAGGCAGUGCAUGCUCUGUCUCAGGCUUGCAUGCUGGGUUCCUCCAAACCGGGCAGAGCUGCAGCUCCUGGGCACAGAAAGACUCCUGGUGCCCGGGGAGCCUGGCAGCAUGGAGCAGGGCAUGGGCACCUCUAUGGGAGCUGCUGGUGGCACCGUCGUGCAGCGCAUCAAGGCCGUGGAGACGGAGACGCGGCUGCUGGUGGUGGACAAGGAGACGGACGAGUACCUGUGCAGCCUGCGGCUCACCUGCACCGAGGACAUGGUGCACAACGGCAUCGUGCUGGGCUCGGCAGUGCCCCCUGCCAAGGGCCUGCCCAGCGACAACGGCGAGCUCUGGAAGCCGCAGCUGGAUCUGAGCGGGGGCGGCCUCCAGAGGCAUUCCCACAGCUUCUCCUCCCACGGCAGCAGGAAGGUGAGGGGGGCUGUGGGGACCCUCUGGGAUUGCCUUUCUCCUUGUCCCAUCAGAGAAAACCCUGCUGUGUGUGGGACUCAUCCCGGGGACCCCCAGUGUCCCUGUGGAAUCUUUCACUCCAGGCAGUUUGGGGCUGUGCAUUCCCUUCCCUCUGGUGUCCCCAAGGGUCUCCUGAGCUGCUGGGGGGGCUCUGGGGGGCUGCCAGUCCUGGGGACAGUGACCCCACGGUGCCUCAGCCAAGGCUGGUGUCCCAGCCUGGUCACAGGCAGCCCAGAGCAGGGCUGUGGCCAAGCUGGAGCUCAUGAAUGAGCUUCUCUGCCUCCAUUAUUCGCCGGAGGGAGGGAACAUCUGGGCUGAACGUGUUCGCAGCUUUUUGCUGAAAUGGGAAGUUAAUUGGCUCUUUUCAAGCGGCCUGGGUCUGGCCUGGGACUCGGCACUAAGUGCCUUUUAUUGGUAAACUCCUUUCCAGAAGGGAAGGAAUUCGGGGUGGAACAGGUCCAGUUUCCAUGGCUGCGGGGCUGGAGCCGGCGCCGGCAGGAGCGGGGCUGAUAGCGGGGCUGGCUGGGGCUGGCAGGAGCUGCUGGGUGCUGUGUGCCCUGCUCCACGGCCAUCUGUGCCCUCCCAUCCCUGUCCCCUGUCCUAUGCUUGCUGCUCUGGGCUGCUCAGCAGCCUCUGCAGGCAGGAGCUGCUGGGUGCUGUGUGCCCUGCUCCACGGCCAUCUGUGCCCUCCCAUCCCUGUCCCCUGUCCUGUACUUGCUGCUCUGGGCUGCUCAGCAGCCUCUGCAGCACGGAGCUGCUGGGAUCCCCUCCUCCUCCUCCUCUUCGUCCUCCUCCUCCUCCUCCCUGGGGCCCUGCAGGGGCUGCGCUGCCAGCUCGGUCUCUGUCCCCUCGCACUGGGGGUGGUGGCCGAGUGCUGGCCCAGAGGUGGCCACUGGGCUGCCAGGAGGAGAUCCGUGGGAAGGUUGGGGAAGCACUGUGUCCUCAGGAACCCCUCGUGCAGAAAUCCCCGUGCAGAUAAAGGCGAUGCUGGUGUGAGGCAGGAGAGGGGCUCCCACCUCUGGUGCUUCCCUCUGGAGCUGUUUGGAGUCUUGCCGAGAAGGCUCCCCCUUCCCUGGGCCAGCCUCGGAGGCUGUGCUUUAUUUUUCUUUAUUCACUGUCUGAUUUGAAGCUGUGUGUGUGUGAGGGUGGUGCUGGCUGUGUUUCCCUGGGGCUGCAGCCCCCCGGGACAGGGACAGGAGCCAUUCCCAGGGACAGGGUGGCUCUCACAGGGACAUUUCCUGCCCUGUUCCCUGUGCUGGUCUCGCUCCAG
rnacentral:lncRNA from 1 species